rnacentral:rRNA from 1 species
CAGUCGCCACGGGAAUACGGAGGGUGCAAGCGUUAAUCGGAAUUACUGGGCGUAACGCGUGCGUAGGCGGUUCGUUAAGUCUGUUGUGAAAGCCCCGGGCUCAACCUGGGAAUGGCAAUGGAUACUGGCGAGCUAGAGUGUGUCAGAGGAUGGUGGAAUUCCCGGUGUAGCGGCGAAAUGCGUAGAGAUCGGGAGGAACAUCAGUGGCGAAGGCGGCCAUCUGGGACAACACUGACGCUGAGGCACGAAAGCGUGGGGAGCAAACAGGAUUAGAUACCCCUGUAGUCCCUGUCUCUUAUAC